CAGUAGCCGCGGUAAUACGAAGGGGGCUAGCGUUGUUCGGAUUUACUGGGCGUAAAGCGCACGUAGGCGGAUCGAUCAGUCAGGGGUGAAAUCCCAGAGCUCAACUCUGGAACUGCCUUUGAUACUGUCGAUCUGGAGUAUGGAAGAGGUGAGUGGAAUUCCGAGUGUAGAGGUGAAAUUCGUAGAUAUUCGGAGGAACACCAGUGGCGAAGGCGGCUCACUGGUCCAUUACUGACGCUGAGGUGCGAAAGCGUGGGGAGCAAACAGGAUUAGAUACCCCUGUAGUCCCUGUCUCUUAUAC
rnacentral:rRNA from 1 species